GGGGAAUUUUCCGCAAUGGGCGAAAGCCUGACGGAGCAAUACCGCGUGAGGGAGGAAGGCUCUUGGGUUGUAAACCUCUUUUCUCAGGGAGUAAAAAAGAAGGUACCUGAGGAAUAAGCAUCGGCUAACUCCGUGCCAGCAGCCGCGGUAAUACGGAGGAUGCAAGCGUUAUCCGGAAUGAUUGGGCGUAAAGCGUCCGCAGGUGGAAUUUCAAGUCUGCUGUCAAAGAAUUUGGCUCAACCAAAUAAAGGCAGUGGAAACUGAAAAACUAGAGUACGUUCGGGGUAGAGGGAAUUCCUGGUGUAGCGGUGAAAUGCGUAGAGAUCAGGAAGAACACCGGUGGCGAAAGCGCUCUACUAGGCCGUAACUGACACUGAGGGACGAAAGCUAGGGGAGCGAAUGGGAUUAGAUACCCCAGUAGUC
rnacentral:rRNA from 1 species